rnacentral:rRNA from 1 species
UACGUAGGGGGCUAGCGUUGUCCGGAAUCAUUGGGCGUAAAGCGCGUGUAGGCGGCCCGGUAAGUCCGCUGUGAAAGUCGGGGGCUCAACCCUCGGAUGCCGGUGGAUACUGUCGGGCUAGAGUACGGAAGAGGUGAGUGGAAUUCCCGGUGUAGCGGUGAAAUGCGCAGAUAUCGGGAGGAACACCAAUGGCGAAGGCAGCUCGCUGGGACGUUACUGACGCUGAGACGCGAAAGCGUGGGGAGCAAACAGG